CACGUAGGGGGCGAGCGUUGUCCGGAUUUAUUGGGCGUAAAGAGCUCGUAGGCGGCUUGGUAAGUCGGGUGUGAAACCUCCAGGCUCAACCCAGAGCCGCCACCCGAUACUGCUGUGACUUGAGUUCGGUAGGGGAGCGGGGAAUUCCUGGUGUAGCGGUGAAAUGCGCAGAUAUCAGGAGGAACACCAGUGGCGAAGGCGCCGCUCUGGGCCGAGACUGACGCUGAGGAGCGAAAGCGUGGGUAGCAAACAGG
rnacentral:rRNA from 1 species